rnacentral:rRNA from 1 species
CGAACGCUGGCGGAGUGCUUAAGACAUGCAAGUCGUACGAGAAAGUCGCCUUCGGGCGAUGAGUACAGUGGCGCACGGGUGAGUAUCACGUGGGUAAUCUACCCUCAGGUUCGGGACAACUCCGGGAAACUGGAGCUAAUACCGGAUAAGCCCCCAGGGUCUUCGGAUCCAGUGGGAAAAGGUGGCCUCUUCUUGAAAGCUGCCGCCUGCUGAUGAGCCCGCGUCCCAUUAGCUUGUUGGUGAGGUAACGGCUCACCAAGGCUUCGAUGGGUAGCUGGUCUGAGAGGAUGAUCAGCCACACUGGAACUGAGACACGGUCCAGACUCCUACGGGAGGCAGCAGUCGGGAAUCUUGGGCAAUGGGCGCAAGCCUGACCCAGCAACUCCGCGUGAGGGAUGAAGGCCCUCGGGUCGUAAACCUCUGUCGGGAGGGAAGAAAGCCGUGCGGUUAAUAGCUUCACGGUCUGACGGUACCUCCAAAGGAAGCGCCGGCUAACUCCGUG